AGAGAGAGAGAGAGAGAGAGAGAGAAAUGGUGCCAAGUUUUGGGAGAGGCAAGUAAAAUAAAGCAAAUGGCAGAGAAGAAAAUGAAAGAGGAGAAAGGUAAAUAUUUUUCCCCCUUAAAAAGUUUUCAAUAUGUCUGUCUUCUGUGUGUUUUGUUGUGGCAGUGCCCAGUCUUUUAGACAUCACCGUGAUAACUCCAUAUGGUACUCAAGUUGUCCUCAAGGGGAGUGAAUAUAGAAACAUGUCACCUUACAAACUAUUCUUUAUCUCGUGAAGUUAAAGGAUAAAAAUUGAAUGAUAAGUAGAGAUUGUUGCUUUGAGGCCUCGUUUGCUCAGAGUUGUUGAA